UACGGAGGGUGCGAGCGUUGUCCGGAAUUACUGGGCGUAAAGCGUGCGCAGGCGGUGAUGUAAGACAGGUGUGAAAUCCCCGGGCUUAACCGGGGAACUGCGUCUGAUACUGGAUGGCUUGAGUUCGGGAGAGGGAUGCGGAAUUCCAGGUGUAGCGGUGAAAUGCGUAGAUAUCUGGAGGAACACCGGUGGCGAAGGCGGCAUCCUGGACCGACACUGACACUGAGGAGCGAAAGCCAGGGGAGCAAACGGG
rnacentral:rRNA from 1 species